GACGAACGCUGGCGGCGUGCUUAACACAUGCAAGUCGAACGGAAAGGCCCUGCUUUUGUGGGGUGCUCGAGUGGCGAACGGGUGAGUAACACGUGAGUAACCUGCCCUUGACUUUGGGAUAACUUCAGGAAACUGGGGCUAAUACCGGAUAGGAGCUCCUGCUGCAUGGUGGGGGUUGGAAAUUUUCGGCGGUUGGGGAUGGACUCGCGGCUUAUCAGCUUGUUGGUGGGGUAGUGGCUUACCAAGGCUUUGACGGGUAGCCGGCAUGAGAGGGUGAACGGCCACAUUGGGACUGAGAUACGGCCCAGACUACAACGGGAGGCAGCAGUGGGGAAUAUUGCACAAUGGGAGGAAGCCUGAUGCAGCAACGCCGCGUGCGGGAUGAAGGCCUUCGGGUUGUAAACCGCUUUCGCCUGUGACGAAGCGUGAGUGACGGUAAUGGGUAAAGAAGCACCGGCUAACUACGUG
rnacentral:rRNA from 1 species